rnacentral:rRNA from 1 species
CGGUAAUUCCAGCUCCAAUAGCGUAUACUAAAGUUGUUGCAGUUAAAAAGCUCGUAGUUGGAUUUCUGCGGGGACGGAGCGGCCGGUCGCAACUUGCGACUCGAGCUAGCGCUUUCCCCGCAUCCUGCCGCGAACCGUGCUACCAUUAGCUUGGUGGCGCUGGGGAUCGGCUCGAUUACUUUGAGAAAAAUAGAGUGUUCAAAGCAGGCCACACGCCUUGAAUAAGUUAGCAUGGAAUAAUGACUAAGGACUUCGGUUCUAUUUUGUUGGUGUUCGGGACUGAAGUAAUGAUUGAUAGGGACAGUUGGGGCGGUCUGUAUUCCAAAGCGAGAGGUGAAAUUCUUAGACCUUCGGAAGACAAACAGCUGCGAAAGCGUUCCACAAGGAUGUUCCCUUUGAUCAAGAACGAAAGUUGGGGGAUCGAAGACGAUCAGAUACCGUCGUAGUCUCAACUAUAAACUAUACCAGCUAGGGAUCGGUCAACGUUUAAUCAUUCGACUUGAUCGGCACCUUAUGAGAAAUCAAAGCAUCUGGGUUCCGGGGGGAGUAUGGUCGCAAGGCUGAAACUUAAAGGAAUUGACGGAAGGGCACCACCAGCCGUGGAGCCUGUGGCUUAAUUUGACUCAACACGGGAAAACUUACCAGGUCCAGACAUAGUAAGGAUUGACAGAUUGAUAGCUCUUUCUUGAUUCUGUGGGUGGUGGUGCAUGGCCGUUCUUAGUUGGUGGAGUGAUUUGUCUGGUUAAUUCCGUUAACGAACGAGACCCCAGCCUGCUAAAUAGCGCGGCUGAGCUUUGCUCGGUGCGAGCUUCUUAGAGGGACUAUGAUGCGCGAUAGCACAUGGAAGUUUGGGGCAAUAACAGGUCUGUGAUGCCCUUAGAUGUUCUGGGCCGCACACGGGCUACACUGGCGCCUGCAACGAGCAUAUCAGCUGGCCCGAGAGGGUCUUGGCUAAUCUUUUGAACCGGCGCCGUGCUUGGGAUUGACCAUUGCAAUUGUUGGUCAUGCAACGAGGAAUGCCUUGUAAACGCGAGUCAUCAGCUCGCAUUGAAUACGUCCCUGCCCUUUGUACACACCGCCC